UAGGGAAUCUUCCGCAAUGGACGCAAGUCUGACGGAGCAACGCCGCGUGAGUGAAGAAGGAUUUCGGUUCGUAAAACUCUGUUGUUAGAGAAGAACAGCGCAUAGAGUAACUGUUAUGCGUGUGACGGUAUCUAACCAGAAAGCCACGGCUAACUACGUGCCAGCAGCCGCGGUAAUACGUAGGUGGCAAGCGUUGUCCGGAUUUAUUGGGCGUAAAGCGAGCGCAGGCGGUCAAUUAAGUCUGAUGUGAAAGCCCCCGGCUCAACCGGGGAGGGUCAUUGGAAACUGGUUGACUUGAGUGCAGAAGAGGAUGGUGGAAUUCCAUGUGUAGCGGUGAAAUGCGUAGAUAUAUGGAGGAACACCAGUGGCGAAGGCGACUCUCUGGUCUGUAACUGACGCUGAGGCUCGAAAGCGUGGGUAGCAAACAGG
rnacentral:rRNA from 1 species